GGUCAAAGUUUGCUGCAUGAAUACACCUCCUGCUUGGACAGCUCAUGUUUUGAUGAUACUUGUCUUUUAAUUACACUUUCCUUCAUCCUUAAGCAUCAUUCACGACUCCAACCCUUGAGGCUACUUAUACAUCUCUUGGAUAAGAAAUUUAAACCUCUAAAUAUAUCCCCAAGUGAAAGGGAGAGCAAAGGAAGCAAAGAGAGAUAGAAAAGUAAGAAGCUGGGAUUGCAGUUUGUAAAGGUGAUUUUCCAACUUCGAGUGAAAAAGGAUAUUGAUCUAAUCUCCAUAGAAGCUUGCACACACAAAGGUGAAAGGUGAGCAUGGAACUACAUAGAGGGCAUGGUUAGUUGUGGAGCACCUACAGGAUUCUAGAGUUCGAUGUACAUGGAUGACGACCUGUAGGGUUAUUUUGUAGGCUACUAUCUGUUGGGUUAUAUUUUGGAAUCCUAUAUAGUAUACUUUUGAAAUGGCCUGCAGACAUGUUCAUAAGCUCAGAAUAUAUAUGUUGGAUUAUGGCGAUGUGAUUUUAGGUUUCGAUAUGUUAUAUGAUCAUGUCACAUGUGAUUAGAAGUUAUC